rnacentral:lncRNA from 1 species
AUAAUUUUUGAGAUUGUUUGGGUUGACUUUUGAAUGAAGUCUUGCUGUUGACCUAUUUGUAUGCUUCCCUUGCCAUGCAUUGCCUUCCUAUGUUCAUGAAAUGAUAAUAAUGCAUGAUUUGAAUGUGAAUCCAAUUGAGAUAGCUUCUUAAAUGUUUGAACAUGAAUUGGGUUGACCUUUCUUUGCUGUUUGACUUUUUUCUUUCAUCUUUGACCCUAGGCUAGUCCUAGUGGUCUUUUGA